rnacentral:rRNA from 1 species
GGAAUCUUCGGCAAUGGGGGCAACCCUGACCGAGCAACGCCGCGUGAGUGAAGAAGGUUUUCGGAUCGUAAAGCUCUGUUGUAAGAGAAGAACGUGUGUGAGAGUGGAAAGUUCACACAGUGACGGUAACUUACCAGAAAGGGACGGCUAACUACGUGCUAG